ACAAACAAGUGUGCGUCCUAUUUGGUCUCUGUUGACAUUUGGUUACAGACUCAGUUGUUUCAGGUUUCAAGGUCUGAAAAUGCACGAGUAAUGAGGUCUACAGGCUUCCAGCUCAAUUCCAAAGAAAGGAUUAGAGGCCCAGUAACACAACACAGAGGCUGACCCUUGCAAGCAUCCUGGUGAAGGAGAUUUGUGAAACCAUGAAGCAGAAAUUGGUGGUGCGAUAAAGACCUCAAGAAGAUGGAAAUGACAGGAAUCUAGAUGCUCCUCUGAAGAAAGACACAGGCAUUGAGAAGAGUCAGUUUAGGAGAAGAGCAUCCAUUCCAGCUUUGAUCUAGAAGUUCCAACCCCCAUUGAGGCUUCGGCAACUGUCACGCCUGCAAGAUCUGGAUGGGCCAGCGCUCUCUCUGUUCUGGGACCCUUGACGGUGGAGGUUGACUGAGCAGAGCUCCAGAGAACACCGCUGGACUGCGAUACACCUUCCCCAGACCCCGCGACCCACCUAUCCCUUCAUUUGAGUGUUGGCAGAAUAAAGAUCCUGAAUAUCACAGAGUUAUCAAUGCUCCCUUAUGAAGUGCAUCAAAGCCCUAAAGGAAAUGUCACUCCUGAGGAAGCUGGCUAACCAGGACCCAGGGACCACAGAGCAUAGCAAAUACCUAUAAUUAACACGAGCUAUUUUUGUAGAAUACAGCCCUCUGCCCAUAACACUCACUGUCCUCAAUACAGCAACUGUGACUGCUUGCAAGAGACCUCAAGAUCAAGGGCCUUUUUAAUACUCUCUAACAAAAUAUAGUGGUGAGGAGGGUCGUUGGAACGCCAUCUGAGAUUCCAGCCACUUCCUUCUGUUCCUCCUAGCCAGCUGCAUGAUUCGGCACUAACUGCACAUUGCCUCAUGGUCUCGAAGAUGCUAGAAUGUGCUGACUGUGAAAUAGUAGCAAAAGGAAGAUCUCUACAACUAUGGGGAAGUCAUCCAUACUGGGAUGAGACUAUUCAGUGGUGUGAUUGCUCUGAGAUCUACUAUGCUCCUGUAAGCAAUCUAUUACCUGUGCUCUGUUAAGUAAUCCCAGUAAAUUUAUUGGCAUUCUAAGGCUAAACACCGAUGGAAUCAUACUUUGCAUUUUGGUUGGUGUCCUAUCCAAGGGGAGCAGAAGGAGCAGAGAGUUAACAUAAUAGCUAUCCACUGGGGAAAUAAAUAUUUUGAUUUAGCAAUAACUCUUGUCUCUUUACAUUUUUUUCUUUUCAUUUUUUUUUUUUUGGUUAUUCCCUAUGUAUCAAACCCUGGACACAGUGUUAUUGAAGUAGGUACUAUACAAUUGCUUAUAUCUGGUAUUUUCUAUUUAAAUACAACUCAGAAUGUUUCAGCAUAGCAUACUAUUACAAGAUAGUUUUGUAAAAAGUUUAAAACUACUAUAAAAUGCUCAUUGUAAAAUAUAGAUAAUUCCUGCAUUGGUAGUGAGAUUUUAAUGUUAAAGAAAAAAUUUGUGUUUACUAUAAAUAGUAUUUA